rnacentral:rRNA from 1 species
UACGUAGGGUGCGAGCGUUGUCCGGAAUUAUUGGGCGUAAAGGGCUCGUAGGCGGUUUGUCGCGUCGGGAGUGAAAACAUCUGGCUUAACUGGGUGCUUGCUUUCGAUACGGGCAGACUAGAGGUAUGCAGGGGAGAACGGAAUUCCUGGUGUAGCGGUGAAAUGCGCAGAUAUCAGGAAGAACACCCGUGGCUAAGGCGGCUCUCUAGUACGGUACUGACGCUGAGACGCGAAAGCGUGGGGAGCGAACAGG